rnacentral:lncRNA from 1 species
GAAAUUUCCGAUCGAAUUUGGUCAGAAAUUAUGAAUUUCUGGGCAAAAAAAAAAGAGAGAUUCCCAGUUGGUUUUCAAUAACAAAAUACUACCAUCUAGAGCUUAAAACAACCAAAACAGUCCUAAAAAAUAUCAUCCAUGAUCAUAUCAUUCUAAAAAAUUAGUACUAUAUUUGAGAUAAUAUCUCAUUACAAACUCCAUAAAUUAAAAUACAUAAAUAAAAUAAAAUCUAUCUGAAAUGAAAGUCUAAUUGGAAUACAAGAAUAAUUGUAACGUAGUCACUUUGUCUAAUAAAUUUACCCCUGAAGAAUUUGCACAUUCAUGUACCUGUGAAACAAGAGUCAUAAUUUUAGUCAUACUUUUUAAUAUCACGAUUCAGGAAAAAAUUAAACAUUAAUCAUAAAAUAUAUAUUAAUUAGUGAAGCAAACAAUAGAAUAAGAAAUAAGUACUGGUGUAUAAACUACUUAGUCAAAUUUUACUUGUGAGUGUAAUUUUAAAUCAGUGGAUUAAUACAAAACGGAAAUUACUUUUAGAUUAGCUAAACCAUUAAUAGGUUCAUAUAGUAAGUACAUAACAACUACACUCGUUCAAUUUUCUGGCUAAUGUUGCCUAAUACACUGAUCCAGUUAAAAGAAAAAUCAAAUCCAUCAGUUAAAGGUGCAUUAGAAGACACUGAUCCAUGCAGUAACAUAAUGUUAUGUUUAUGUUACUGCCACACUUACCAAAAUGCAGAUAUCAUGUUCAUGUGCUAAUCGUUUUAGUAAAAAUGAUGUCCUGUUUCACGCAAAAAGAACAAGCCCUUUAGUUGUUACUUCAGCUGUUGUAAAAGGUCUAUAUGUGUACUAUUUUUAUUAACAUAUCGUAUUGCAAAACCUAAGGACUUUGGCUAAAGAAAGGAAACAUAUACACCACUAGAUAAACAUAUUAGUUUGACGAUGAGAAAAACCUAGUUCAUACCCUUUGAAGAGAGAACGUUACAUACUGAUUUCUGAUUUCGAGCAAAAUGUUUCCAUUCUGUCAAACAUUACUUUCUGAUUUCUUCUGAUAUUUGGACGAAAACCUGGAAGUGGUGCAAUCAAGUAAACUUUAUUAUGCCGAGGAAUUUGGUAGAGAAAAAGAAAAUUAACAGAGCCAUGCCUCAGACUUACUACCAUCAAUGACUAUACUUUGCUGAUAAACCAUAGUCGAGCAUUGGGCGAUAAAAACGACUAUGCUUUGCUGAUAAACCAUAGUCGAGGUAUUUGCCAAUUCGAUAGAGAAUAUCAGCACAACUUUAAUUUCACCAACUGAGCUAAGAGCUAUAAUAGCUUACAUAGUUUCAACGACAUCAUUAUAUGUUUGUUCUGUUUCCGAACCUUACUAAUCUCUGAUGCAAAUUCAUGCUGAUUUUCAAGUUCCAAGCUGCUACAUGAGGUUGACUCAAAAAAAAGGAGAGGAAAAUAACACAACCAGAUAAAAUGAAAUUGGAAGGUGAUAAUUUAAUAUACAUUCAACUAUGCUCAGGAAAUUCGGAGAAUGAGAGCAUUCAUCAGUAUUACCUACAUGCAUGCCAUUGCUUUACCUAGCUUAGAAACAAAACAAAGCAGUGAAAGGGGGAUUUGCACCGUCACAUCAACAAGCACUCAACAAGUUAACAUGAGUUGAAGCAAGACUUGAAUGUCUAGCUUCAUACUACACAGAAAACUAAAAGGAAAAAAAUCACACUUCACUAAUGCUCUACUCAAGGGGAAAAAAAAUAAUUUAAUUCACAUAUCUAAACGUUUAGAAUGUAUGGCCUGAGAAUAAGAAAUAUAUAAGAGAAAAGUAGAUACAUAUAUUUUGCUUUACAAGCUUGAUGUAGUCUUCUUAAAAUUAAGGAAUAGGAAAAAAAGUACAUGAUUGUGAAAUAGAGAUUGCAUGUUUCUGACCAUUCAUGCUCUUCCUCACGAUUCCACGAAUUUACUUGAGUUUAAAAACAAUGAACAAAUCACAAAGAGCCAAGAGGGAAAACUACAAGAACUCUAACAGCAGGAAACAUAGUGAAUAAAGCAUGCUAUGCUACUCAGAAAAAGGAAAAAUCAGAGAAAAUAUUAGCAACCUAAGAAUGCAUAAAACUAGUGAAAAGCCAACUGCCCAAAGUACUAUAGGCUAUGGAUAAGGCCAAUAAGGACCAAGAAAGAAGCAGUGUUCUUCAGACCCCCAGAAAAAUUACAAGGAAAAGGAAAGCACAGACAAUGAAAUAUGUAAGAAUAUAAUUUUUUUUGCACAUCAAAACUGACAGAAAUAUUGUUAAUACUUUAAAGAGUAAAGCACUCCUAACUCCUAAAUAACUCAAAGUCUCAACUCAUAAACCAUGGAAUAUACUACUGAGGUUUUCUUUAUUUUUCUAAAAAAUAUAAUAAUCAAGAAAGGCCCAAGACUUUUCAAGAUUACAGCAGACAUACCUCUCUAGGCACGAUUGUCUUGGGAAUAACUCUGCAGGCUGACAAUAACAUGACAAACCUUAUGAAUGAUGAUACAAGGCAAAAAAGAAAACCAACUUAUUUUUCAAGAAAAUCAGAUGUCAAUAAGCCAAUGUUGCCUUGCCCUUGUCUAGUAAAUUUGACUAAAGAAAAGAAGGCCUAGAUAAGAAACAAUUCUAGGUUCUCAUGCUAAUUCAAAUGGACACAUCAUAGCAAGAACUAGUUGCUGGUGCAUACCAACCUAUAUUGAUAAAAAUAUCCCAAGAUCAGUUAAUUAGAGCACAAUAUCAACCCAAUACCCAACAACCAUCAAGCACACAGACCAAGCAAACAUGAAAUUUAGAGUGAGAAGAAGUCAUCAAUCGUGCAAUAAAGCUACUAAGUUUAGCAUCCCAUGGAGAGAAGAGCAAUAAAUAUUGAAAAUGGCAAAUUAAUAAUUUCUUUAUGUUUACUGACCAUCCCAACCUCAUGACAUUCACUAUUGUAAGAUCAAUUAAAUACAAGUAACUACAUGUUCCCGUCCAUCAUGGUUGCAAUUUUGAGACCUCUCAGAAAUAGAGAGACAAUUAUCCAUUCCUAUUUACACAAAACAUAUUACAAGAAAGCCACCUGUAUUUCGUGUAAGUUGUUCGUCCAAGUAUAAAAAUAAAAAUCAAACCAGAUUGAGCCCAAGUGACAUUUCGUAUUUUACAAAAAUAAUUGAAUAAAAAAAUAUUAGGGUUUCCGAUGGAAGUGAUACGCAUAGAAGAAACUACAGGGAGAGAAGAAAGGUGCUUACCACUCGAUUUCUCAGCCGAGUUCGCCGGAGAAGGAGAUUAAGAGGAGCAGCAGCCGGAGCGCGGCAUCAACUCGCCAAAGAAGACGACCGAGGUGAUUGUAGAGGUGAUUGUUUUGAGGUGCGCCGCUGCUCUGCUGAAGAAGAAGAAGAAGAAGAAGAAGGAAUAUGGGUGCUAGGGUUUUUUUUAAUUUUGGGGGGUGUUUUGAUUUAUGAGAUAAUU